rnacentral:rRNA from 1 species
UACGUAGGGGGCAAGCGUUGUCCGGAAUCAUUGGGCGUAAAGAGCGUGUAGGCGGCUUGGCAAGUCUCGCGUGAAAUCCUGCGGCUCAACCGCAGGCGGUCGCGGGAAACUGCCUCGCUAGAGUCCGGAAGAGGAGAGUGGAAUUCCUGGUGUAGCGGUGGAAUGCGCAGAUAUCAGGAAGAACACCCGUGGCGAAGGCGGCUCUCUGGGACGGUACUGGACGCUGAGACGCGAAAGCGUGGGGAGCGAACAGG